rnacentral:rRNA from 1 species
AUUGAACGCUGGCGGCAGGCCUAACACAUGCAAGUCGAACGAGUGGCGGACGGGUGAGUAAUGUCUGGGAAACUGCCUGAUGGAGGGGGAUCACUACUGGAAACGGUAGCUAAUACCGCAUACCAUCGGAUGUGCCCAGAUGGGAUUAGCUAGUAGGUGGGGUAAAGGCUCACCUAGGCGACGAUCCCUAGCUGGUCUGAGAGGAUGACAAGGAAAACGGGAACGGAGACACGGUCAAGACUACGACGGGAGGCAGCAGUGGGGAAUAUGGGACAAUGGGAGAAAGCCUGAGGAAGCAAGGCCGCGGGUAUGAAGAAGGCCUGCGGGUUGUAAAGGACUUUCAGCGGGGAGGCGUUACCCGAAGAAGAAGCACCGGCUAACAACGUGCCAGCAGCCGCGGUAAUUC